GUGCAUGUGGCGAAACGGUAUACGCGCCGUCCUGUCAUGACGGUGGGUGUUACUAGCACCCAUGCGGGUUCGAAUCCCGCCGUGCGCACCA
rnacentral:tRNA from 1 species